rnacentral:sRNA from 1 species
UUUAUUUUUCUUACAGUGAUGUUAAUCACAAUAAGUGUUUUGACAACUCAUUUUGAUGGUCAGCUGCCGCAAAUGGAGUAUUUUUUGAUUGUGCUAUGAUUGCUGCUAUGGAAUAUUGGUAAAUUGUAGAUCUUUCUAGUCAAAGGAAAGGAUCACAAUACUGCAAGAGUUUAAGGAAGGGCACCUUAUAAGGCCAAUAUGCUCCUGCCUUAAUUUGAAAGUUAAUGAGAUUUAUUGGUCCAAUAAAUGCACCAAUCCUAUAACUCUUGAUGGCAGCACAUAGACGAACAUAGACGUAUUUAUGUAUCCCACAUUCAAUAUAAAAAAUUUACUGUUGCAAAAGUGGAAACUGGAAAUAGUAAACAACUUCUUAUCAUAUUUUGCUGGGACGCCCACACAAUAUCAUAAAUAUUGGUUAUGACGUAAAUGUCGGACACAUUUUCAUAGCUGAGAAAUGAACGACACAGAAUUCCAAUAAGAACCAUAUGGCGUUUUCAUUCAUUCAUGCGAACCUUUGACGACAUAGCUGCAGUUUUCUUUCUUUGCAAAAAGGAAUGAAAUGGGGGAUAUUGCUACACAUUCCCCAUUAGGUAGGGAGUAGUAAAUUGCCUCCCGUUGGCCAUUGACGCAUUUCGCUACUCAUCUGUCCCCGUAAACCCGGUAUCCACAAAUAACAGUCCCAGUUGUUUAGCCAGCAACAUUUUGUUAGAAUUUUUAUAUCUUUGUAUGUGUAUAAAUGUAUGUAUGGGCAUUUCUUUUCUUGCAUUUGUAUGCGUUCAAUGUAUACAAAAUGUUUGAAUACAAAAUUUUCUUCGUUUUUUCUUUAUGAUACAGGUUGUGACGUAGUCUAAGUCAAAAUGAAAUGAAAGCACGUACACAAGAUACUCCUAGGCCCCCACCGUUCCCUUCCAAAUGUUGCCAUUAAAAGUCGCCUAACACCCAUUGCCAUUAUCAACACCAAGAGUCAAGCAACCAAUCUACUACUCCCCCUACUGUUAUAUAUUCAACAACCACCGUGGGGAAUCUGUGAGAAAUUGAGAGGGAGAUUUUGAGAGCUCUCCGAGAAAGCAAAUAUUAACUACAUUAUUGAGCAAAUGUCAGCCGUAAAACAACAAGAGAUAGAGAGAGAGGGAGUUAAUAUUGACAUAGAGAGCGUGUUAUGUUGGGGUUUGUUUUUGAGACUGGAAUGCCACCUACGCUAGGCAUUUUCUUGUGAUACAUGUAUAUUUCGU